rnacentral:lncRNA from 1 species
CAAAAUUUAGCAAGGAAAAGAGCAAUGGAGGAAAAGAGAAAGUAGAUGGCAGUAACAGUUUGGGGGAGAGCACUUUCGCUGAAGGGAAGAAUAAAGUCGAAAGAGAAAAGAAAAAGAAGAAAAAACAUAGUAGUAACCUUCAACAAUAUUUGGCCCUCAAGAGUGGAAAACAGUCGACAGAAAUAAAAUGAAAAGAAAAAAAAACCAAUCCCCAGACGAAGUUUGAGAAACAAAAGAAAUUUAAUUCGGCACUAACUCUCUCAUCAUAUCCCUAAAAUCUCUCCUUAAUAUCCUCACUACUAACCCACCAUAAUCCUCUCAACAACCGAAACCAACCCUCAGUCAACCUCUUCAGUAUUUCGGCUGGACCAAAAUACCUAGACGAC